CAUCAGAUGAGCAUCUGACAAGGCCCUGCUCCCUCCUCAUGUCCAGGCCACCUGGCCAGUGGCUUGGCAUAAGAAACUCUGAAACUGGUAACUAUGAUAAAAACCUUGCAGAACGUGUGUGUGUGUGUGUGUGUGUGUGUGUGUGUGUGUAUGAAUGAAUGAAGUGU